rnacentral:misc_RNA from 1 species
AAGAGUUGCAAAACUCCCAAACCAUUGUGAACAUACCUUCAACGUUGCUUCGGCGGGUUGGCCCCGGUCUCCGGGGUCCCCGGCCCUACUCGGGCGCCCGCCGGAGGACCCCCAAACCUCCUGCAUCACAACAGUGGCUUCUUUCUGAGUAGCGCUCUCGCGAGCGGAUAAGCAAAAUGAAUCA